AUGCAAGUCGAACGUGAACGGGGCUUCGGCCCUUAGUAAAGUGGCGCACGGGUGAGUAACACGUGGAUAAUCUGCCCUUAUGAUCGGGAUAACAGUCGGAAACGGCUGCUAAUACCGGAUACGCUCAAAAUGAACUUUUUGAGGAAAGGUGACCUCUGCUUGCAAGUUACUGCAUGAGGAUGAGUCCGCGGCCCAUUAGCUAGUUGGUAGGGUAACGGCCUACCAAGGCAACGAUGGGUAGCCGAUUUGAGAGGAUGAUCGGCCACACUGGAACUGAAACACGGUCCAGACUCCUACGGGAGGCAGCAGUGGGGAAUAUUGCGCAAUGGGCGAAAGCCUGACGCAGCGACGCCGCGUGAGGGAUGAAGGUUUUCGGAUCGUAAACCUCUGUCAGAAGGGAAGAAACCGCACCGUGCUAAUCAGCGGUGCAUUGACGGUACCUUCAAAGGAAGCACCGGCUAACUCCGUGCCAGCAGCCGCGGUAAUACGGAGGGUGCAAGCGUUAAUCGGAAUUACUGGGCGUAAAGCGCACGUAGGCUGCUUUGUAAGUCAGGGGUGAAAUCCCACGGCUCAACCGUGGAACUGCCUUUGAUACUGCUUAGCUUGAAUCCGGGAGAGGGUGGCGGAAUUCCAGGUGUAGGAGUGAAAUCCGUAGAUAUCUGGAGGAACAUCAGUGGCGAAGGCGGCCACCUGGACCGGUAUUGACGCUGAGGUGCGAAAGCGUGG
rnacentral:rRNA from 1 species